ACAUGUAUCUGCUCGUAAAUUAAAUUGCGUUUGCUCUUCAGAUUUGCUGAGAUUGUAAGAAAUCUCUGAAGCUGGUCUAGUAAGCUUUAGUACAUU